UUUUGGCACAACCGUGUUCAAGGUCAGAAACAGGCAGCUUGUCUGAUCGCCGCACUCAAACCACACUUGAUACACAAGACACCUCAAACCCUCACGUCAGACCGAUCCCUCAAAAGCCUUUAUUUCACAUUCACAAACGAGGAGCAGUCCAAAAAAAACAAGUGAAACAUUCAACAUGAAGUCUAGCCCCAGGGUUGGACAGGCCUCUGCAUGAGAACAGCAAGCAAGGGGGCAACGGCGAGAGAAUGUCGGUGGGCGGGCAAUUCCUCAGCCGAGGGGCCAGCGGGGAAAGUGAGUGGGCCCGGGCUGUGCGGCGGGAUCCGGCACCGGCGGCCAGAGGUGGAGGAGCAGUGGGAACUCCCUGGGGAGGAGAAGGCGCAUUUGAGAGAUCAAUGGAUCAAACCAAAGCACUACUGAUGACAGCUUAAAAGGACAUUGAUGAAUACGCCAUGCUGGAUGCCCAUCCUCCACCCACAAUGUGCAUGUGUAGAGUCGAUGACAUUUCACUAAAGAGCAUAAGGUACCCUUGCAUAACCUGGAUCACCGGUAUAAGUACAGAAGUCCACUUUAAUUUGCCACCUACCAAUCAUGUACAAUGUAUUGCAAUUAACCUUAUAACCACAUUAAGAAAUUUCAUUUUAAAAUCUGACCACCAUAGCCCCUCAGUUACUAAAUAAUUUGAUUGUUAAAUAAAAUGAUAAACCAUACUUUUUUUGACCCUAUUUAUGAAUGAUAAAAAUAUAACAUAUUUAUAUAUACUGUAUAUAUAAAUUGAUGGUUAUGCAAAAUAUUUUAACACAGCCAAGACAAAUUAACAGGAUUACUCCUUAAUUCCAUCUUAAAGUGCAUCUUUUUGCACACAGUACAAUUUACCGAAAAGUUGGGUAACACUUUACUUAAAGCUGUCAUAUAUAAUGCAUUGUGGAUAGCUUCAUAAUGCAUUAUAAUGUUCCGUAUAAGAUUUAAUAAACCAUUAUAGCACCUUCUAUUGACAGUAAUAGGGCAUUAGAGUGUUGAUUAUAACACUUCAUAAGCUCCAGUGAAGCUCUCAUCUAUAAUCACUAUAGAUACCUUCAUAAUGCAUUAUAAUGGUCAGUAUAAGAACUCAUAAAGCAUUACAGCAUGCGGCUUCUACUGACAGUCAUGGGGCAUUAUAGUGUUGAUUAUAAUGCUUCAUAAGCCCCAAAUUAGCUUUCAUCUAUAAUGCAGUCAAGAUACCAUCAUAAUGCAUUAUAGUGGCCGGUAUAAGAGUUAACGAUGUUUUGUACUGCAUUAUGAAGGUAUCUUGACUGCAUUAUAGAUGACAGCUUCAUAAAGCAUUCAAAAUGCAUAAUAAAUAUGGCUAUACUGUGAUGCCUUUUUAUACAUAUGUAUACCCAUGUUUAUAAUGCUUUAUGAAUGCAUUAUGUGUUAUAAAUGUGUUCAAAGAUUCUUAUAGACACCGUAAUCAUAGAAAAUGUUACCAUAAGUUGUAGUACCAAACAACCCUUUAACAGUAGAUGAAAAAGAAAUAUACAGAUUAUUAUGUAGGCCUAUUUGGCAUUCUUCCCACUUCAUAUAAUCUGUGUUACAUCAGUACCAUAAACUGGUAUAUACUAUUCAGUAAUAAUGCACUGGAUAAGCAAUAAUGGAAAAUGGAUGGAUGGAGAUUAUAAAUAAUAUUUUGGUUUAUAGUCAUUUAUAAACACAUUCAUAAUGCAUUUUAAUGCAUUCAUAAAGUAUUUAAAACAUGGCUAUAUUUAUAAAGCCAUGUUUAUUAUGCAUUAAUACUGCCUUAUGAAUCUCUCAUUUAUAAUUUACUGUUGACGCCAUUAUAAGGCAGUAUAAAAGCAUCCUUAAUGCUUAUACUGAUCAUUAUACUGCAUUAUGAAGGCAUCUAUAGUGCAAUAUAGAUGAGAGCUUCAGAAAGUAUUCAUAAUGCAUGAUACACACGGCUAUAAUGUGAUAUGCCUUUUGAUGAAUAUUUAUAGCCAUGUUUAUAAUGCUUUAUGAAUGCAUUUUUAUUUGUUAUGAAUGUAUUCAUGAAUAACUAAGAACAGACCCUUAAGUAAAGUGUUACCAACGUUUCUUUGCAUUCUUGCACAUUGAUCUGCCCACAAAGGCACAAUGUUCCACUUGUGUGGUCAUUACAUUUUUAAACAGUACAGUGUAGCAGGGGUGUAUUUCCUGAAUCUUGCAUGCAUUGCAGUCCUCCAAUACCAAGGGGUCGAUAGUACUUGCUUCAAACCAUCCAUUAAACAACUAGGCCUAUUUCUUUGUUUAUGUUAUGUUUUAGCUGUUCAGGUAGUUCACUGACUGAGAUACAUUAAAUUAAUGAGACAGCAAAUUAAAAAUCAACAUAAAAUCAUAUGAAGGAAAAGAAAUCAAAAAAGCUGUUAGCAACAAAGAUAAAUGAAUAAAUUGUAUCCAAAAAGGAAUGUUCAAUAUUGGGAAAAUUUUGUUGUUAUUAUUGUUUAUUUUUAAUUUUUAUAUUUUUAUAGUGGAGAUUCAUUGAGGAAAUUAUUGACUUACUAUGUCCGCAACACAAGGACAGCAUGUUAAAUGAACAGAGUUAAUAAUAAAAUAAGCUGCUAAGGAUGUUCUUGUGAGCUUUGAUCAUGUAGCUCAUCCGAUUUGUUUGACACAAAUCCUGUCACAUUAUUUAAACCCAUUUGAGAUGUAUUUAAAGGUUUGAAAAUGCUUUUCUGCUAAUGAGUAAUUCAUAGUUUACAUUCAAAGUGACUGCCAGACCAGCUCUAAAAUUAGCCACAACUUAUUGUUCUUUUGCAACCUAAAUGAGAUGAAUAUUCCCAUGAUUUGGAUUAAACAUGUUUGUCAAUAAAGUUAGUAUUAGAAAUGUUACAGUUUUGCCAAAUGUAAUUCAGUGAUACUUCUUCCAAAGGGCAUUUGAUGCUAGAAAGCACUAUGCGCUGAUUUAUCCACUUUCCAGGAUGAAUAUUACCUCCUAAAUCCCAACAGUUGCUUCGCUAAAAAUGCACCUGCCCUGAUUAUCAAAAGUAAACUGGACACGGGGCACCUUGAGCUAAUUUGCUGAAAUGCAUCUUGACAGCAUGAUAAUAGCAUAACCUGCAAAACAUUCAGUCUUUACCAAUAAGCUAAUAACAAAUUAAGUGGGUUGAAUUGACUUACAACAGAUAAUAAUACCCAGCAGUCAGUUAAUACUGUCGCUAUGGCCAUUGAUUCUUCCACUAAUGUAAGCGAGUUCUUUUCAAAACAGUGAACUACUAGCUAACCAGGUAACAUUGCCAUUGCUUAACGUCUUAGUUGAGUAAUUGCUCUAUGCUUCAAUUUAUUUCUAUCUAUUCUAUUAAACAAUUAUCUUUGCUUUUAGUAGGUUUAUUUGAAAGGUUUAUUCCAUAAUGACUAUCAAAGUGUCGAUCAAUUGUCAGUGAUAAGCUCUUGUUACUGGGCAAAGUUUGCUAGUGUAAUACAAAUCUGAUGUCUAUAAAAGCUCAACAUAAAUCACA